UUCGACCUUGUAGAGUCCAUGGGGGUGCAACUAAAUAUAUAGAAAGGUGUUCUUAAUGUUUUGUACACUCAUUGUAUGUGCAACUGCCUUUUUCUUCCCCCUAGCACUGUUUCCUUCCACUCUCUAGUUCCACUCUCUAGUUCCCACACACACACUCACGCAGUAUUUUCGUUUAGAGACAUAUUAAGUAACAGUGGAAAUGAUUGCGUGUAGAGAUUAGUGUGAAAUGAACCCAGAGAUUCACCUGUUUAACUCUGUUGUUCUUUUUUUAGGAGUAAACUAAAUAAACACACACACAGGAAUCCACAUCUUCAAUGUCUGCUUAGGUCAGCUUCACAAUCAAAGCAGUGUGUCAGGUUAGUUGGAGGGGUGAGAGGCCUAGUGGACAGGGUCAGAGGUCAGAGGCCUAGUGGACAGGGUCAGGUUAGUUGGAGGGGUGAGAGGCCUAGUGGACAGGGUCAGAGGUCAGAGGCCUAGUGGACAGGGUCAGGUUAGUUGGAGGGGUGAGAGGCCUAGUGGACAGGGUCAGAGGUCAGAGGCCUAGUGGACAGGGUCAGGUUAGUUGGAGGGGUGAAAGGCCUAGUGGACAGGACAGGGUCAGGUUAGUUGGAGGGGUGAGAGUCCUAGUGGACAGGGUCAGAGGUCAGAGGCCUAGUGGACAGGACAGGGUCAGGUUAGUUGGAGGGGUGAGAGUCCUAGUGGACAGGACAGGGUCAGGUUAGUUGGAGGGGUGAAAGGCCUAGUGGACAGGACAGGGUCAGGUUAGUUGGAGGGGUGAAAGGCCUAGUGGACAGGACAGGGUCAGGUUAGUUGGAGGGGUGAGAGGCCUAGUGGACAGGGUCAGAGGUCAGAGGCCUAGUGGACAGGGUCAGGUUAGUUGGAGGGGUGAAAGGCCUAGUGGACAGGACAGGGUCAGGUUAGUUGGAGGGGUGAGAGGCCUAGUGGACAGGACAGGGUCAGGUUAGUUGGAGGGGUGAGAGGCCUAGUGGACAGGGUCAGAGGUCAGAGGCCUAGUGGACAGGGUCAGGUUAGUUGGAGGGGUGAGAGGCCUAGUGGACAGGGUCAGAGGUCAGAGGCCUAGUGGACAGGGUCAGGUUAGUUGGAGGGGUGAGAGGCCUAGUGGACAGGGUCAGAGGUCAGAGGCCUAGUGGACAAGGUCAGAGGUCUAGUGGACAGGGUCAGGUUAGUUGGAGGGGUGAAAGGCCUAGUGGACAGGACAGGGUCAGGUUAGUUGGAGGGGUGAGAGGCCUAGUGGACAGGGUCAGAGGUCAGAGGCCUAGUGGACAGGGUCAGAGGUCAGAGGCCUAGUGGACAGGGUCAGAGGUCAGAGGCCUAGUGGACAAGGUCAGAGGUCAGAGGCCUAGUGGACAGGGUCAGGUUAGUUGGAGGGGUGAAAGGCCUAGUGGACAGGACAGGGUCAGGUUAGUUGGAGGGGUGAGAGUCCUAGUGGACAGGGUCAGAGGUCAGAGGCCUAGUGGACAGGACAGGGUCAGGUUAGUUGGAGGGGUGAGAGUCCUAGUGGACAGGACAUGGUCAGGUUAGUUGGAGGGGUGAAAGGCCUAGUGGACAGGACAGGGUCAGGUUAGUUGGAGGGGUGAGAGGCCUAGUGGACAGGGUCAGGUUAGUUGGAGGGGUGAGAGUCCUAGUGGACAGGACAGGGUCAGGUUAGUUGGAGGGGUGAAAGGCCUAGUGGACAGGACAGGGUCAGGUUAGUUGGAGGGGUGAAAGGCCUAGUGGACAGGACAGGGUCAGGUUAGUUGGAGGGGUGAGAGGCCUAGUGGACAGGGUCAGAGGUCAGAGGCCUAGUGGACAGGGUCAGGUUAGUUGGAGGGGUGAAAGGCCUAGUGGACAGGACAGGGUCAGGUUAGUUGGAGGGGUGAGAGGCCUAGUGGACAGGACAGGGUCAGGUUAGUUGGAGGGGUGAGAGGCCUAGUGGACAGGGUCAGAGGUCAGAGGCCUAGUGGACAGGGUCAGAGGUCAGAGGCCUAGUGGACAGGACAGGUAGAUUGUAGAGGACAGGACUCAAAGUAAGGGUCAUGCAGUCAGGAGAUUUAGCAUAAUGUAUAGUAAAUAUAGUGGACUGUUAUAAGGUUGUAGUAAGGUUGUAUUAAAGUUGUACUAUGGUUGUGGGAGGUUAAAAUACAGUCGUAAUCAGAUGCAGGGGAGAGCAGAGCUUGUGGCAACUACACAUUGGUAGUCUGCUGUUCUUUUUUAUUUCUAGUUCAGGAACUCCCAGGUAGUCCCAGUUGUUAUCAGGAUAAUGGUUCCUGUUACCCUUGGAAUCACACUGUAUGUGCAAUAGUUGUCUUUGUUGAUAGUUUCUCUCUCCAAAGUGUGUGUAGCAUUGUCCCUGUCUGAUGUUUGUUAGCCAUGGACUGUAUGUCUUUGUCCGUACCCCUUUACUGUGCCCCUAAAAUGUCUUCAGUCUCAUUAGCCUCACACUACACUGAUUCAGGAGGGGUUAGUGCAGAGUGAGUGAGUGAAUGAAAAUGGAGAUUGACAGUGCGUGUUGUCUGUGUGUGUAGCUGAAACCUGUCAGGAUACGCAUGCCUACCGGUAUGUAGAAGGAUGUCUUUGACCUCAGUAAAUGGAAUGCUUUGUCAAUCAAUGCUCCAGCUAGCAGUUCAUUUGUAGUCUGGCUGUCUAUUUCAACAAGCUGGAUACUGUAAAUUCUACAUUCUGCAGUCCAGGAAAACGAUGUCAGUCCCCCAAAAAAUAUAUAGGAGGAAGUCAGAAAGAAAGACAGAGACAGGCUCUUGGCUCUUGGCUAGGGAGAGGUUUACUGUACUUGGGGUUGCAAAGCUACUGGUAAUUUACCAAAGUUACCGGAAUCUUCAGUAAUUUUGGUAAUUAACAGAAAAUGUAUGUCAAUCUAUUGUAACUUUGGUCAUUUAAACUUGAAUAACUUUUUUUUUUAAGUAUUCAUAUAUAGGAUUCAUUUUUUAUAUCUGUAUCCAUAUGGUUCAUGAAAAAAUAGCCCAAUUAAUUUUUUUAAGCGUCUAAUCAACAACGGCAUUAUUUUCAAUUGACUGCAAACUAUUUACUUUUUACACAACUGCCCCCAGUUUGACACCAAAACAUUGUCAACAAAUACAUAUUGACAUAGUCAACUAAAUGAAAAUGUGUAAAAAAAAUAAAUGUUUAAGGAUAUUUCAUAUUUUCAUACUGAAACGCCAAUGAUAUUCACUAAAUUGAUGGUUUAUAUUUAAGAUAAUGUUUUACAGAUUUUUCAUAAAAAAAUGUAUUUUAAAAUAUUCUUAUUGAAUUAUUUAAUAUAUUUCACAUGUGAUAAGACCAGAGAGAGGGACAUAGAUAAUAACAGACACCUGUGAUAAUCUGAAGAACCCAAAAGGGCCACUAGAUGUCUGGCGAUAGAUUACAUAAAAUCCUUGAAAUAUACUACAAUUCUGGUAGUUUGCUGGUAAAAUUCGAAAGUUUCCAGUAAUAUACCCUCCAUUCGCAACCUUAACUGUACAUGCUUGGAGAGACAUUCUUGGGAUGCUUGUGGUGUAGUGAGUGGUGAGAGGGGUGGUAUGAUGGUAGUACUAUGAUGUCAGUAGCAGAGAUAUGUAGUGUUUUGUGAGAGGUGGUAUGAUGGUAGUACUAUGAUUGGCUACAAGUUGUCAGGUGGAUUUAUGCUGUUUAUAAGCCUCUGCUGAAAUAAGGAACUUUCCUGUUUCAGUAGAAAGAUGGGCGUUAUGUACUGGUACUCUGGCCUGGCCUCAGCCCAGUCUCUACUGUGUGGUCUGUUGCGAGGCAUGUUUGACAUAGGAUAGUUACAUACAGGUACAUGGCGAUGUGUGUGUGUACACUUUGUUGUUUUUAACUUGAGAUGAGGUUGUCCCCAACAGCCUUUUGUUUCUCUCUGUGUGUGGGAAUGUGUGUGUACGUGCGUGUGUGUGUGUGGGAAUGUGUGCCUGUGUUUGUGUGUGGUGUUCUCUCCUAUGGACUCUGAUCACUAGCCCUAACCCUCAUAAGGUCCAGAGAAAAAAGACAGAUGACAGUCAUUAUUACCUCAUGUAUUAGUGGGGACCACUUUUGUAAAACCAACCCAUACAGAUGCACAUAAGACUUGGUACUGUUUCAGCACUUUCUAAACCCAGAGGAAAGGUCUGGUCUAAUCCCUCAUCUCAGACCAAGGUCUUCCCCAGAGGUAAUAACAUUCAUUCAUUCAAUUCAGACAGAGAAUGAAAGAGAGAGAGAGAUAAAACAUUUAAUUUAAAAAAUUGAAAGAGUGAGAGGAUAAAGUGAUGGAGAGACUGUUCAGAUUACGUUUUUUUUGCACAUGGCCUGGUUGUAAACCGUAGUGUUUCCACUCUUUGCUCCAUUUCGCCUAGCGUCCGACACGUUCUUGGGUCCAACGAGUUGAGAUGCGAGGCGGUUUCUUGGUUCCAUGUUUCUAAUCAGAAGGACCUUUUUCGUGGACACACACACUUUUCUGUGUUCAAUUUGGUCCUAUAGUAUAAAAUACCUUUGGUUUCUUCAUUAAUGUACUUUUUCAGAAUAGAUGGGUUAGCUGACAACGCCACGAAAACGAUUUGCACGCUUCGAAGGGGCAGAAGUCCACGACUUGUUGUGAUUCUGCAGAUAGCUAGCAACAAUGACAAGAAGAUGCCAUAUGGGGAAUCGUAGGUGGCGUGUUUCAGCUAGUUUUAUCUU